rnacentral:lncRNA from 13 species
UCUUCUCCUGCAUUGCUGUUGCGCUAAGCUAUGCGAUAGGCUUGUCUUGCUGCUUAAUGUUGCUGCUGUAACAUAUCUGCCACCCCGCUAUGCGUUGUUUGGUUCCCACCAGCCCGGCCUCCAUCUGUUUUGGCUCUGCUUUCUUUUCCUGUCAGAUUGGGCAAAUCAAUCGUUUUGGACUUCCAAUCUCUGCCCAUAGUAGGGAUUUCUAUGUCAGGUCUCCCAGAGAUCAAGUAUGCGCCAGGGUGAACAUUGACAUUCUAGAGUUCACCUGCUGUGAAGGAGAACGGCAUGAGGGGGCUGGGCAGUCCUGCUGUGGAAAGAGGUCCUUCAACCUCAUCCAGGCUUCAUGUUGUGAUGGUCAACUGACUCCGCAUGUGAGCCAGCUGGUGUCAGAUUGCUGUGGCUCUAGGGCCUAUGAUCCACUCAACCAGCUAUGCUGUGACUUACAGAUUCUAACCAGGACCCAACUCCAUUCCAAGUGUUGUGGAAAAGAGCUUUACAAUGAAGACCACCAGCUCUGCUGUGGACAUGUCGAUAAAGGAAGGAAGGUCCUGACCAAAAUGUCCCGUCACCACCGGUGCUGUGGAGACCACCAGUUUGAUCCGCGAAGCCACUGCUGCUGCCACCACAUCACUGAACCAUUAAACCCUCAGCCUCUCAAUGCAAGCUGCUGUGCCAUCCAGGAAGUGCGACAUACUCCCCCAGCGCAAAUUGUUCAGAACAAAAAAAUUGCUCAGAGUUCUCCAAACUGUAUGCCUGGGGAGAAGCCUUGUGGUCAAUGUGCCUGCUUUAACCCAAUAACAGAACGUUGCUGUGUGAACCCUACAUGUCUCCAGGGACAAAGUUACUCACAUGACCAGACCUGCUGUGAGGGAACACUCAGCCAUACUCCAGGUCACUACCAUAGUGCUAGCUGUGGCUCUAAGGUGUACAAUCCAGACAUCAAAACCUGCUGUUGCGGGAAGGUGUCCAAUAAGGUGCUUGGAGUAAACCUGUGCUGCGGUACAACUCCGUAUGGUGUAGAGGACCGAGGGGUGCUGUGCUGUAACCAGACCUUGCACCAUGUGGUGGAGGAUGGGUACCAGUGCUCCCCAGGUGGCCACUUGUAUCUGCCAUCCCGUGAGAUGGUGUGUGGCUCACGAGUUCAUCUGAACGAUCCAGACAAACACUGCUGUGGGGAGGAGACAUACUACCCUUGGAAUGAAAUCUGCUGCAACGGACGCAAACACCACAGGUUGAGAAAUGUUUCCUGCUGCGGAGGGAAGGCCUACGACCCCAGCAGUGGCCAGAUGAAGUGCUGUGCAGGGACUCUGUACGACCUGCAGUUUCAGGACAGACUCUCAGAGGAAGCCCAGUGCUGUGGGAGUGUCCUGAUGGAGGCCGGCUCCACCCAGACCUGCUGCUCUGCCCCAGGGCUAGACGUGCUCUACCCUACCCAGCCAGGCUUCACCUGCUGUGGGCACCGCUACCCCAAUGCCUCCCUGUGGUCUUGCUGCGCCGGGGUCCUGCACUCAAGGCCUGAACCACACAACACCACCAAGAACGUGAUUCCAGGACCCAGACUUCUACCACUGGGGGAUCUGAAGACUGAAGUCCUGUGUCACAGCAGAGUUCUGCUGGGGACAGUGGAGAGUGUGUCUGUGAAGAUGAAUGAGCGGUCCAUCGUGAUGGUGAACGCCAUGGACAUGCCGGCCUCGCGUGGCCAUGUCAGCGCCGUGCCUUUCCCUCACUACCUCACAUUACCCGACCACUGCAGCUCCCCUGAACUGGUGCCGGGCAACACUUACAUCUGGGUGAAAAAUAAUUUCUCAGACACCAUAAGUUUCAUCUCUGAUCUCAGCGAUCAUUCCUCCCCUCUUCAUUCCAUCCUUUCCAGGUGCUGAACCUUUUUCUUUCCCAGAGUAAAGCUCUACAUAAUGUUUUAAAGCUUUACAGUGUUUGUUUGCAAGUACAUUGUUAACAAUCAACGGUGUAAUAAAAAGCUCAUCUUGGGUUCAGAUGGGGUUCGACAAGUAGACAAGCCAUGUGUGUGAAGUGAAUAUCACAUUGUGCAGGAAAAAAAAGCCUAUUUUAACCAAGCAUUUGUGUGUAGGUGUAUGACUUCACCAUGCAUCAAUUCAGGUGGUGUUG